GAAAUGCGUUAAGUAAUGUGAAUUGCAGAAUUCAGUGAAUCAUCGAAUCUUUGAACGCACCUUGCGCCCCUUGGUAUUCCGAGGAGCAUGCCUGUUUGAGUGUCAUGAAAUUCUCAACUGCCUUUAUGGUGAAGUUGGAUUUGGAGGAUGUUUUGCUGGCGCUCUUUGGUGAGCUUCGUCGGCUCCUCUCGAAUGUAUAGGCCUUUCCGUAUGACAUUGUGAAGCGGCUCUGAUGUGAUAAUUAUCUCCGUUGGACGUCGUCGUUCGCUUUGAGUAUGGGGGUGGAUUGCGUGCGGUAAGGCACGCUUGACCAAUUCGACCUCAAAUCAGGUAGGACUACCCGCUGAACUUAA
rnacentral:rRNA from 1 species